ACCCUGAUGCAUCAGUUCUUGUCUGAUCUGGAAGUUAAGCAGGUUC
rnacentral:rRNA from 1 species